UCAUCGUAAUGCCUGGCUCCCUGUAUGCCAUUUGCAAAGCCCAUCAUCUAAAAAUAGGUGGCCUUCUCGAAUGGCAUGCAAGGAGCCAUGCAUGUAUAAAUU
rnacentral:pre_miRNA from 1 species